UACGUAGGGUGCAAGCGUUAAUCGGAAUUACUGGGCGUAAAGCGUGCGCAGGCGGUUUUGUAAGUCUGUCGUGAAAUCCCCGGGCUCAACCUUGGGAAUUGCGAUGGAGACUGCAAGGCUAGAAUCUGGCAGAGGGGGGUAGAAUUCCACGUGUAGCAGUGAAAUGCGUAGAGAUGUGGAGGAACACCGAUGGCGAAGGCAGCCCCCUGGGUCA
rnacentral:rRNA from 1 species